rnacentral:rRNA from 1 species
GAUGAACGCUGGCGGCGUGCCUAAUACAUGCAAGUCGAGCGAACAGAUGAGGAGCUUGCUCCUCUGACGUUAGCGGCGGACGGGUGAGUAACACGUGGAUAACCUACCUAUAAGACUGGGAUAACUUCGGGAAACCGGAGCUAAUACCGGAUAAUAUAUUGAACCGCAUGGUUCAAUAGUGAAAGACGGUUUUGCUGUCACUUAUAGAUGGAUCCGCGCCGCAUUAGCUAGUUGGUAAGGUAACGGCUUACCAAGGCAACGAUGCGUAGCCGACCUGAGAGGGUGGUCGGCCCCAGUGGAAGGAGAACCGGGCACAGACCCCAGGGGGGGGAGGAAGUGGGGAAUUUCCGGAAUGGGGGAAAGGUUUGACGGACCAGGCGGGGGGGAGGAAGAAGGGUUUUGGGAGCUAAAACCUUUUUUAUUGGGAAAAAAAAAAUGUGAAAGAAAUAAUGCCCGCCUGGACGGACCUUAAUAAAAAGACCACGGCAACCUAGGUC